CAAUAGCGUAUAUUAAAGUUGUUGCAGUUAAAAAGCUCGUAGUUGGAUUUCUGGAUGGAGUGACCGGUCGGGCAUUAAUUUGUCUGCACUGGAGUCGGUUCCGUCCAUCCUCUUGGAAAGUGCGUGGGGCAUUAAGUUGUCUGGCGUAUGAUCCAAGUCGUUUACUGUGAAAAAAUUAGAGUGUUUAAAGCAGGCCUUCGCCUUGAAUACAUUAGCAUGGAAUAAUAAGAUAGGACUUUGGUCUAUUUUGUUGGUUUGCAGACCGAAGUAAUGAUUAAUAGGGAUAGUUGGGGGUAUUUAUAUUCCGAUGUCAGAGGUGAAAUUCUUAGAUUUUCGGAAGAUAAACUUAUGCGAAAGCAUUUACCAAGGAUGUUUUCAUUAA
rnacentral:rRNA from 1 species